UCCUGUUUUUAAUAUAAGAUGUUAUCAAAAUAAUUAACAACCAGAUUCUUUAUGUAUAUACAAAAAAUAAAAACCCACAGAAUGUUAAAAGUUCACAGUUAACUAUUGGCACAAGAACCUUAAAAACAGGAUUGAGUUGUCAAUCAAUUACAAGAUCAUAAUUUAUAUUGCACUAGCAAGUAUAGUAAUUUGGACAAGUGCAAAAGAAUUAGACCUGUUGAUGGACAUAUUCUUAAAAUGUAUAUUGAAUGAUGUACAUGUUAAUUCAAUUAGUUAUUUAAAGUCUGACAUUUCUCUCCUAAAAUUUUGGCCUGUCAAAUGUCAACAAUCAUCUUUUAUAAUCGAGAAACUAAAUAUGACACUGUGCCACUUUAAAUAUCCCUGACUUUUCAAUAGGGAAUGAUAUGAAGCAUGGCAUUUAAUUUUUAUUUAGCAGGUGAAGGCAUCAAAAUACAUGAAUGAUGUACAUUGUGGAAAGAUGACAAGAAAAUUAAAAUGUGCUUGAUGAAAUAAAAACCUUACGGAAGUG
rnacentral:lncRNA from 1 species